rnacentral:rRNA from 1 species
GCUUGCUUGUUGGGGUUGUAGGACACUCUAUACGGAGUUACAAAGGACGACAUUAGACGAAUCAUCUGGAAAGAUGAAUCAAAGAAGGUAAUAAUCCUGUAGUCGAAAAUGUUGUCUCUCUUGAGUGGAUCCUGAGUACGACGGAGCACGUGAAAUUCCGUCGGAAUCUGGGAGGACCAUCUCCUAAGGCUAAAUACUCUCUAGUGACCGAUAGUGAACCAGUACCGUGAGGGAAAGGUGAAAAGCACCCCGGAAGGGGAGUGAAAUAGAACCUGAAACCGUGUGCUUACAAGUAGUCAGAGCCCGUUAAUGGGUGAUGGCGUGCCUUUUGUAGAAUGAACCGGCGAGUUACGAUUUGAUGCAAGGUUAAGCAGUAAAUGUGGAGCCGUAGCGAAAGCGAGUCUGAAUAGGGCGUUUAGUAUUUGGUCGUAGACCCGAAACCAGGUGAUCUACCCUUGGUCAGGUUGAAGUUCAGGUAACACUGAAUGGAGGACCGAACCGACUUACGUUGAAAAGUGAGCGGAUGAACUGAGGGUAGCGGAGAAAUUCCAAUCGAACCUGGAGAUAGCUGGUUCUCUCCGAAAUAGCUUUAGGGCUAGCCUCAAGUGAUGAUUAUUGGAGGUAGAGCACUGUUUGGACGAGGGGCCCCUCUCGGGUUACCGAAUUCAGACAAACUCCGAAUGCCAAUUAAUUUAACUUGGGAGUCAGAACAUGGGUGAUAAGGUCCGUGUUCGAAAGGGAAACAGCCCAGACCACCAGCUAAGGUCCCAAAAUAUAUGUUAAGUGGAAAAGGAUGUGGCGUUGCCCAGACAACUAGGAUGUUGGCUUAGAAGCAGCCAUCAUUUAAAGAGUGCGUAAUAGCUCACUAGUCGAGUGACACUGCGCCGAAAAUGUACCGGGGCUAAACAUAUUACCGAAGCUGUGGAUUGUCCUUUGGACAAUGGUAGGAGAGCGUUCUAAGGGCGUUGAAGCAUGAUCGUAAGGACAUGUGGAGCGCUUAGAAGUGAGAAUGCCGGUGUGAGUAGCGAAAGACGGGUGAGAAUCCCGUCCACCGAUUGACUAAGG